rnacentral:rRNA from 1 species
UACGUAGGCAGCAAGCGUUGUUCGGAAUUACUGGGUGUAAAGAGUGUGUAGGCGGUGCUCUAAGUUCGGUGUGAAAUCUCCCGGCUCAACUGGGAGGGUGCGCCGAAAACCGGGGUGCUGGAGCGCGGGAGAGGAAAGCGGAAUUCCUGGUGUAGCGGUGAAAUGCGUAGAUAUCAGGAGGAACACCGGCGGUGUAGACGGCUUUCUGGACCGUAGCUGACGCUGAGACACGAAAGCGUGGGUAGCAAACAGG